GGAGACGUCGCAUAGCCCGGUCGAGUGCGCCUCACUGCUAAUGAGGUAGGGGUCUUAAAAGCCCCUCGGAGGUUCAAAUCCUCUCGUCUCCG
rnacentral:tRNA from 1 species